rnacentral:rRNA from 1 species
AUGGUGGUAACGGGUAACGGGGUGUUAGGGCACGACACCGGAGAGGGAGCCUGAGAAACGGCUACCACAUCCAAGGAUGGCAGCAGGCGCGCAAAUUACCCAAUCCCGGCACGGGGAGGUAGUGACAAUAAAUAACAAUACGGGGCUCUUUCGGGUCUCGUAAUUGGAAUGAGUACAAUUUAAAUCCCUUAACGAGGAACAAUUGGAGGGCAAGUCUGGUGCCAGCAGCCGCGGUAAUUCCAGCUCCAAUAGCGUAUAUUAAAGUUGUUGCAGUUAAAAAGCUCGUAGUUGAAUUUCGGGAUUGGCGCAUCGGUCGUGCCUCACGGGGUAUGAACUGGUGCAGUCAAUUUCUCACCUUCUGGAGAACCGCGAUGUCCUUAAUUGGACGCCGCGGGGAACCAGGACCUUUACUUUGAAAAAAUUAGAGUGUUUAAAGCAGGCAUUUUUGCUCGAAUACAUUAGCAUGGAAUAAUAAAAUAGGACGGCAUGGUUCUAUUUUGUUGGUUUCUAGGACCACCGUAAUGAUUAAUAGGGAUAGUUGGGGGCAUUAGUAUUCAAUUGUCAGAGGUGAAAUUCUUGGAUUUAUUGAAGACUAACUACUGCGAAAGCAUUUGCCAAGGAUGUUUUCAUUAAUCAAGAACGAAAGUUAGGGGAUCGAAGACGAUCAGAUACCGUCGUAGUCUUAACCAUAAACUAUGCCGA